CCUACGGGAGGCUGCAGUGGGGAAUAUUGCACAAUGGGGGAAACCCUGAUGCAGCGACGCCGCGUGAAUGACGAAGGCCCUCGGGUCGUAAAGUUCUUUCGACAGGGAAGAAAAUGCCUAUAAGUAACUGUGUAGGUAUUGACGGUACCUGUAUAAGCAGCCCCGGCUAACUCCGUGCCAACAGCCGCGGGAAUACGGAGGGGGCGAGCGUUGUUCGGAGUGACUGGGCGUAAAGGGCACGGAGGCGGUGGUGUAAGUCAUUAGUCAAAGACUAGAGCUCACCUUUAGUAAGGCUAGUGAUACUAUAAUACUAGAGUGUCAGAGAGGAAUGCAGAAUGCCUGGUGUAGCGGUGAAAUGCGUAGAUAUCAGGAGGAAUACCGUUAGCGAAGGCAGCAAUCUGGCUGGAAACUGACGCUGAGGUGCGAAAGCGUGGGUAGCAAACAGGAUUAGAUACCCCUGUAGUC
rnacentral:rRNA from 1 species